rnacentral:rRNA from 1 species
UACGUAGGGUGCGAGCGUUGUCCGGAAUUAUUGGGCGUAAAGAGCUCGUAGGCGGUUUGUCGCGUCGGCCGUGAAAACUUGGGGCUUAACCCCAAGCCUGCGGUCGAUACGGGCAGACUUGAGUUCGGCAGGGGAGACUGGAAUUCCUGGUGUAGCGGUGAAAUGCGUAGAUAUUGGGAAGAACACCUGAGGCGAAGGCGGGUUGCUGGGCCGACACUGACGCUGAGGCGCGAAAGCCAGGGGAGCAAACGGG